UAAGUUACGACGAAUUGGCGAGGAAAUAUGUGUUACGACGAAUGAGUAACGAGAAAACAUGUUUCCUCGCUAAUUCCUCGUAAAGCCUCUUUUACGACGAACUCACGAGGAAAACCGCCCUCGUUAAGCUUAUGUUUUCUUGUAGUGUGUGGCCGCCGGAAAUUGAUCGGAGAGAGAGAGCUUGAGAAGAGAAGUUUCUGUGUGUGGCCGCCGGAAAUAGAUCGGAGAGAGUGCGCUUGAGGAGAGAGAGAGCUUGAGAUUUUUUUUUAUUUUUGGCGUGAGUUUGUAUUAGGGUUAAUGGCAAUGUAUUGUGAUUCUGUAAAUAUAUUUAGGGUAGUUGUCUUUUUAAGUUUUUUUUUUCUAGUCGCACGAUUUUGGUCGCUAGUCGCACGAUUUUGGUCGCGCCGCUAAAAUUUCUAGCGUCCAAAAUUUUAAAUCGCUGAUCGCUAGCGUUUGGUCGUUGAACUCACGACCGGUAAACGAACAACGUUUGGUCGCUGAAGUUGGUCGCUGACGCUAGCGACCAGC
rnacentral:lncRNA from 1 species